rnacentral:tmRNA from 1 species
GGGGGUGAACAGGCUUCGACCUGGGUGGUUACCGCCUGGGGGAAGCGGGCCGAGGUUCCGGAUGCCUCGUUAAAAGCCGGACAAAAAACAAACGCCGACAACAUGGCGCUCGCUGCCUAAGUAACCCUUAGGUGGCCGUCCGCCGCGGGGUGCCUGUCCCCGCGGAUCGGGCGUCGCGAACAGGCUCACGGCAACGGUUCCGCCUGGGGGCUGCCGCCGGAAACCUUACCCGGGCUGGCCGCGAGGUCCUCCGCCGGUGGGAGCCUCGUGGUGAGAACUUCCCGCCGGCUACGCCCGUAGAAGACCCAGAUGGUCGCCCGGGGACGCGGGUUCGAUUCCCGCCACCUCCAC